rnacentral:misc_RNA from 1 species
AGAGCCUUUUCUUUCCUUGUUUCUUUCUUCUUCUUCUCCUACCUUCCCAUCAAUAUCUCUAUCUUUCUUUAUUUGAAAUAAUUCAAAGGAGAGAGAGGGAGAGAGAUGGGUAUUAAUAAUCAUCUUGUUGAAGAGAAGGCUCUUGAUUAUGGCAAUAGCAGAAGAAGAAGAAGCACGGACAGCCUUGAAGAGAGAGUUUCUGUGUUUCUUGAUGAAGAUUUUGAUCAUUCUAAUCCUUCUUUUGAUGGCCAUGAUCAUUAUGAUGAUCAUGAUUCCUUUAUUGAUGAUCAUCAAAACUCCAUGGAAAGAACCAUUUUCUGGGAAUCACAAGAGGCUUUGCUUCAGGAAGUUCUGGAAUGCUAUAGCACAACAGGGUCAAAGUGGAGGAAAGAGAUAAACAGAAUAAUAGAGAAGGCAAAGGAAAGAGAGUGCUGCAAAUGCGCUGAGCCCACUAGCUGUUUCAGGCGAAAGGUUGUUGAUUUCCUCUGCCAAAGAGGUUUCAAUGCUUCUCUCUGCACUUCCAAGUGGAAUCACACUAAAAAAUUCCCAGGAGGGAAACAUGAGUACAUUGAAGUAAUUGUGAGCACAAGUGGACGCAAGAAGCAAAUCCCAUACCUAAUAGAAUUGGAAUUCAAGGAACAAUUUGAGAUAGCAAAGGCAUGUGAAGAGUACAAGAAACUUGUAGCUCAAUUACCAAAAUAUUACAUAGGAAAAGCUGACUACCUAAAUGCCAUUGUUGGUAUUCUCUGUGACUCAGCCAAGAGAUCAAUGAAAGAGAAGAAAAUCCAUAUGGGUCCAUGGAGAAAGAGAAGCUUCAUGCAAAUGAAAUGGUCGAGUUCUUCCACAGGAGCAGGAAGCUCCAUAGAUGAAUCUUCAAGUAAUAACUUUUCUCUGCUUUCAUCAAACAAAGCUCAUGAUUCUUGCUUCCACUUCUCUGCAGCUCCUGCUGUGAUAGUCACUUGAUUAUAUGCUCACUGGAAACCAAAAUAAAUAUAAGCAUUACUGUUUUUGAUAGAGAAAUUUUCAAUUUACAAUUUGGUCCCUGGGUUUUAUCCUAUAUUACACUUUAGUCCUUGGAUUUUGAAAAAAUAAUUAUUUAGUCUCUUAGUUUUGCACUAUAUUACACUUUAAUCCUUGAAUUUUUAAAAAAUAAUUAUUUAAUUUCUGAAUUUUAUAUUAUAUCAUACUUUAGUCCCUGGAAUUUUAAUAUAUAGAAUAAUUUAGUCCUUCUGUUAAUGGAUAAAAUUAUUAUAAACAUUAAAAUUACAUGGACUAAAUUAUUAUAUAUAUUAAAAUUAAAGAAAAUAAAUAAUUCUUUUCUCAAAAUUUAGGAAUUAAAGUGUAAUAUAAUGCAAAACUAAGGAACUAAAUACUUAAUUUCUCAAAAUUCAAAGACUAAAAUGUAAUAUAAAGUAGAACCUAAAGACUAAAUUGUAAA